rnacentral:rRNA from 1 species
GGGGGGGUCAAAUACUGCAGUCGAGCGGGCUUGCCUAGAUGAUUUUAGUGCUUGCACUAAAUGAAACUAGAUACAAGCGAGCGGCGGACGGGUGAGUAACACGUGGGUAACCUGCCCAAGAGACUGGGAUAACACCUGGAAACAGAUGCUAAUACCGGAUAACAACACUAGACGCAUGUCUAGAGUUUGAAAGAUGGUUCUGCUAUCACUCUUGGAUGGACCUGCGGUGCAUUAGCUAGUUGGUAAGGUAACGGCUUACCAAGGCAAUGAUGCAUAGCCGAGUUGAGAGACUGAUCGGCCACAUUGGGACUGAGACACGGCCCAAACUCCUACGGGAGGCAGCAGUAGGGAAUCUUCCACAAUGGACGAAAGUCUGAUGGAGCAACGCCGCGUGAGUGAAGAAGGGUUUCGGCUCGUAAAGCUCUGUUGGUAGUGAAGAAAGAUAGAGGUAGUAACUGGCCUUUAUUUGACGGUAAUUACUUAGAAAGUCACGGCUAACUACGUGCCAGCAGCCGCGGUAAUACGUAGGUGGCAAGCGUUGUCCGGAUUUAUUGGGCGUAAAGCGAGUGCAGGCGGUUCAAUAAGUCUGAUGUGAAAGCCUUCGGCUCAACCGGAGAAUUGCAUCAGAAACUGUUGAACUUGAGUGCAGAAGAGGAGAGUGGAACUCCAUGUGUAGCGGUGGAAUGCGUAGAUAUAUGGAAGAACACCAGUGGCGAAGGCGGCUCUCUGGUCUGCAACUGACGCUGAGGC